CGUAGGUGGCAAGCGUUGUCCGGAAUUAUUGGGCGUAAAGCGCGCGCAGGCGGUUCCUUAAGUCUGAUGUGAAAGCCCCCGGCUCAACCGGGGAAGGUCAUUGGAAACUGGGGAACGUUGAGUGCAGAAGAGAAGAGCGGAAUUCCACGUGUAGCAGUGAAAUGCGUAGAGAUGUGGAGGAACACCAGUGGCGAAGGCGGCUCUUUGGUCUGUAACUGACGCUGAGGCGCGAAAGCGUGGGGAGCAAACAGGAUUAGAUACCCUGGUAGUCCACGCCGUAAACGAUGAGUGCUAAGUGUUAGAGGGUUUCCGCCCUUUAGUGCUGCAGCUAACGCAUUAAGCACUCCGCCUGGGGAGUACGGCCGCAAGGCUG
rnacentral:rRNA from 1 species